rnacentral:rRNA from 1 species
AGAGUUUGAUCCUGGCUCAGAACGAACGCUGGCGGCAGGCCUAACACAUGCAAGUCGAACGCCGUAGCAAUACGGAGUGGCAGACGGGUGAGUAACGCGUGGGAACCUUCCCAAUGGUACGGAAUAACUCGCCGAAAGGCGUGCUAAUACCGUAUAAGCCCGCAAGGGGAAAGAUUUAUCGCCAUUGGAUGGGCCCGCGUCGGAUUAGCUAGUUGGUGAGGUAAUGGCUCACCAAGGCGACGAUCCGUAGCUGGUCUGAGAGGAUGAUCAGCCACACUGGGACUGAGACACGGCCCAGACUCCUACGGGAGGCAGCAGUGGGGAAUAUUGGACAAUGGGCGAAAGCCUGAUCCAGCCAUGCCGCGUGAGUGACGAAGGCCUUAGGGUUGUAAAGCUCUUUUGGCGGGGACGAUAAUGACG